rnacentral:lncRNA from 1 species
UGUGUUUGACUCACAGCCACUUUCCCCCAUGCGGAAGUGAGUGGGUGUACGUGAGGGUGUGAGUGGGGUGUGUGCGUGGGCGUGUGGGCGUGAGGUGUGUGUUUAAAUAUAAUCACACCAUAAUUUAUUCAGCUAUAUGGAGUAGUAGACUAGAAAGAGAAACUGGUAUUUGCUUUAACUACCUGCUGCUUGUAAGCGCUUCCUCUGUAACUCAGGCGUAACUGUUAUACAUUAAAAGAAAUUAAAAGCAUUUUGAAGG